GUUGGGUAGGGGAGCGUUCUGUAAGCCUGUGAAGGUGGCCUGUGAGGGUUGCUGGAGGUAUCAGAAGUGCGAAUGCUGACAUAAGUAACGAUAAAGCGGGUGAAAAGCCCGCUCGCCGGAAGACCAAGGGUUCCUGUCCAACGUUAAUCGGGGCAGGGUGAGUCGACCCCUAAGGCGAGGCCGAAAGGCGUAGUCGAUGGGAAACGGGUUAAUAUUCCCGUACUUGGUGUUACUGCGAAGGGGGGACGGAGAAGGCUAUGUUGGCCGGGCGACGGUUGUCCCGGUUUAAGCGUGUAGGUGUGUGUUCCAGGUAAAUCCGGUUCACUUUAACACUGAGGCGUGAUGACGAGGCACUACGGUGCUGAAGCAACAAAUGCCCUGCUUCCAGGAAAAGCCUCUAAGCAUCAGGUAACAUCAAAUCGUACCCCAAACCGACACAGGUGGUCAGGUAGAGAAUACCAAGGCGCUUGAGAGAACUCGGGUGAAGGAACUAGGCAAAAUGGUGCCGUAACUUCGGGAGAAGGCACGCUGACACGUAGGUGAAGUGAUUUACUCAUGGAGCUGAAGUCAGUCGAAGAUACCAGCUGGCUGCAACUGUUUAUUAAAAACACAGCACUGUGCAAACACGAAAGUGGACGUAUACGGUGUGACGCCUGCCCGGUGCCGGAAGGUUAAUUGAUGGGGUCAGCGCAAGCGAAGCUCCUGAUCGAAGCCCCGGUAAACGGCGGCCGUAACUAUAACGGUCCUAAGGUAGCGAAAUUCCUUGUCGGGUAAGUUCCGACCUGCACGAAUGGCGUAAUGAUGGCCAGGCUGUCUCCACCCGAGACUCAGUGAAAUUGAACUCGCUGUGAAGAUGCAGUGUACCCGCGGCAAGACGGAAAGACCCCGUGAACCUUUACUAUAGCUUGACACUGAACAUUGAGCCUUGAUGUGUAGGAUAGGUGGGAGGCUUUGAAGUGUGGACGCCAGUCUGCAUGGAGCCGACCUUGAAAUACCACCCUUUAAUGUUUGAUGUUCUAACGUGGACCCGUAAUCCGGGUUGCGGACAGUGUCUGGUGGGUAGUUUGACUGGGGCGGUCUCCUCCUAAAGAGUAACGGAGGAGCACGAAGGUUGGCUAAUCCUGGUCGGACAUCAGGAGGUUAGUGCAAUGGCAUAAGCCAGCUUGACUGCGAGCGUGACGGCGCGAGCAGGUGCGAAAGCAGGUCAUAGUGAUCCGGUGGUUCUGAAUGGAAGGGCCAUCGCUCAACGGAUAAAAGGUACUCCGGGGAUAACAGGCUGAUACCGCCCAAGAGUUCAUAUCGACGGCGGUGUUUGGCACCUCGAUGUCGGCUCAUCACAUCCUGGGGCUGAAGUAGGUCCCAAGGGUAUGGCUGUUCGCCAUUUAAAGUGGUACGCGAGCUGGGUUUAGAACGUCGUGAGACAGUUCGGUCCCUAUCUGCCGUGGGCGCUGGAGAACUGAGGGGGGCUGCUCCUAGUACGAGAGGACCGGAGUGGACGCAUCACUGGUGUUCGGGUUGUCAUGCCAAUGGCACUGCCCGGUAGCUAAAUGCGGAAGAGAUAAGUGCUGAAAGCAUCUAAGCACGAAACUUGCCCCGAGAUGAGUUCUCCCUGAGACUUAGAGUCUCCUGAAGGAACGUUGAAGACGACGACGUUGAUAGGCCGGGUGUGUAAGCGCAGCGAUGCGUUGAGCUAACCGGUACUAAUGAACCGUGAGGCUUAACCUU
rnacentral:rRNA from 1 species